AUUGAACGCUGGCGGAAUGCUUUACACAUGCAAGUCGAACGGCAGCACGGACUUCGGUCUAGUGGCGAGUGGCGAACGGGUGAGUAAUGUAUCGGAACGUGCCCAGUCGUGGGGGAUAACGUAGUGAAAAUUACGCUAAUACCGCAUACGAUCUAUGGAUGAAAGCGGGGGAUCGCAAGACCUCGCGCGAUUGGAGCGGCCGAUAUCAGAUUAGGUAGUUGGUGGGGUAAAGGCCCACCAAGCCAACGAUCUGUAGCUGGUCUGAGAGGACGACCAGCCACACUGGAACUGAGACACGGUCCAGACGCCUACGGGAGGCAGCAGUGGGGAAUUUUGGACAAUGGGCGAAAGCCUGAUCCAGCCAUUCCGCGUGCAGGAUGAAGGCCCUCAGGUUGUAAACUGCUUUUGUACAGAACGAAAAGGUUUCUACUAAUACUAGGAGCUCAUGACGGUACUGUAAGAAUAAGCACCGGCUAACUACGUGCCAGCCGCCGCGGUAA
rnacentral:rRNA from 1 species